UACGUAGGGGGCAAGCGUUGUCCGGAAUCAUUGGGCGUAAGCGCGUGUAGGCGGCUGAGUAAGUCUGCUCUGAAAGCCCGGGGCUCAACCCCGGGAGGCGGGUGGAUACUGCUCAGCUCGAGUCCGGAAGAGGAGUGUGGAAUUCCUGGUGUAGCGGUGAAAUGCGCAGAUAUCAGGAGGAACACCAAUGGCGAAGGCAGCACUCUGGGACGGUACUGACGCUGAGACGCGAAAGCGUGGGGAGCAAACAGG
rnacentral:rRNA from 1 species